GAUGAAGAACGUAGCGAAAUGCGAUAAGUAAUGCGAAUUGCAGAAUUCAGUGAGUCAUCGAAUCUUUGAACGCACAUUGCGCCCGCUAGUAUUCUGGCGGGCAUGCCUGUUCGAGCGUCAUUUCAACCAUCAAGCCCUGUUUAGGCUUGUGUUGGGGCCCUGCGGCUGCCGCAGCCCCCUAAAUGCAGUGGCGGGCUCGUUGUCACUCCGAGCGCAGUAGCGUAUCUCGCUCUGGGCGUGGCGGCGGGUGCUAGCCGUGAAACACCCACUAAGGUUGACCUCGGAUCAGGUAGGAAUACCCGCUGAACUUAAGCAUAUCAAUAAGCGGAGGA
rnacentral:misc_RNA from 1 species